UUAGCUGCACUGUGUCCAAUUUUGCUUUUUAAUUGUUUUCAUGGUGAAAGAAAAAUUCAACAUGUUUAAAUCUUUUAAUUAGCCUUACUCACAUGCACUUGGUUUUUCUUCCUUCCUUCUGUCUUUAGACCAGAAGUUUUUCGAAUUCCAUCUCUAACGACCUGUCAGAUCAGAAGACUGGUAAACCUGGAGCCUCAUCCCAAGAGGUGAUGGUAUCUGGGUUUAUUAUGGAUUGUUGGAUGUAACUAUCAGUCUGGAGGGGGAAGAAAGAAUAUUUUGAACCACACCAGGAGAAUUACCCCAGAGAAUGAGUUCACUUGCCAAAAUGGGAAGCUGGCAUCUUUUUGCCCUAUGAGAAGGCUGCUGAGCUAACAGGUCUGCCUUGGCAUAAAUGUCUAGAAGAGCAUGUGUCUCCUGGAGUAUGGGGACAUUUGUAUUUCCAUAAAUUGGCAGCUGCUUCUGGUUAGAGACUUCUAAAAGGUCUGGAAUGCUGGAAUACUGGUAUAGUCCAAAAGAGGAAGAUGAAAAGGAGCCAUGGAACACUGUGCCUGGGAAGAAGAUGGGACAUUACCCUCCACAUGCGCGGGAGCUUUUGGAAGACAUUUAAGAGGAUCUUAGUUUCCACAGCUCCACAUGAAAGAGCAAGGACUGCCGACAUCCACUGUGGGCUCCGAGUGAGGGACUGGCCUACGGGCAGGAGGUGAUGGAGACUUACUUGCUUUACUUCGAGCUGGUCCAUAGCAGCAGAGGAGACUGGGGUGAGCCUCCCUCCAGAACACAUGUAAAGUAUGUGACACUGGUUCCCAACCCUGGCUCCACAAAAGUUACCUGUGAACCUUGUAAAAUACACCUAAGAAAUUCUUACUGAAUUGAACUGGGAUGAGAUUCCACGUAUCAGGAUUCUGUAAAAGCUCCCCCGAUGACCCAAGAUGAAGUCCGGGUUGAAGACCAGUUAUCUGCAGGAAAUGUGUCCUGUGAUUUGGAACCACAUUUGCAUUUGUCAAGCAAGACACUGCGGCCACACAGUGGAGAUCUGCAUCCGUAUGAACCAAGAUUUCGCUCUGCUUCAUGGUAAGACAUGACGUGGCUAACCCUGGCCAUCUGUGCUGCUAAUGUCCUGAUCUUGCUUGAGAUUUUGACUACACAUAUAAGGAACCAGCUAUACAUGGAUAGGCUGUUUGCAGAAAGGUCUCUUGAGACUAUCUGAGCUGACUUGCUUAUCUUGCAGAAAAAUAUACUGAGGCCCAGAAAUUAUUUAAAUAAAGUCCUCAAAUAUGGUAAUUUUAGAAAAAGGACAACAGAAACCUAUAUCUGCCCACUACUCCCACUACUAGCACCAACAUUUUGACUUUUAUAGUUAUUUAUGAAAUAAGGUGUGUGCCUUUUGUGGAAACAAAUAGAGCGCAUCCUACAAGGCUGUCAGAGAGCUGGGAGGCAAGGAGCUUGGAUUUUUAUCAUUUCUUUGUAGUUGCCUCUGGGACUCCGGGUAAAUGCAUGCCUUACUCGGUAUAAAAUAGGCACAAUAAUAGCAUGGUAACGCCUGUAAUCAUUUGUCCCACGUAUUUAAGCACCUGAAGGUAAAACAACACCAUCAUCAGAAACAAUUCGGUGGGUAGAGUCAUUCAGAAAGAGGAUUUUUAUCUGCUUUUGAAAAGGUCUUAAGGAGAAAAAGACAAAGCUUUGAAGGCAUUAGUAAUUUAAGUAUUGGGAUGAUGUCCAGGGACUUUUUGCUGUGACUCACAUCCUGGGUAGGAAAAGGUGAUACAAGUUGUAGGAAUGUCAUCCAAGUGCCUGACUGAUUGGAUCGUAGGGAAGAAAGAAGUGGCUGUUGGAGAAAAAGUGCAGUAGAAACAAUGAAGGAAACAGGAUAAAAACUGUGAAUAUUGUUCAGCUUUAAAGUGUGUUAUGAUUUAAAUAGUACAGCUGGUUUGGAGAUCUUUGGGUGAAAAAAGAUGUGAAAUGACAGCGUGUCAGAGUGGGGUCUGGGUAUGGUACUAAAUGGAGGCUGUAAUGUCAGUGGCUGAGAGAGGUGAACGGCACACACCUGCUCCAAAUAUGACACCAGAGAAGCGUUGGGGUGGUUUCUGGUGUGUUUUUGAGCUGAUGUGUUGAGGUGUGGGUGGUUGGGACAGAAAGGUGCAUGGAGAAAGAACAUCAUCUGGGCAGAUUUACGGGGAAAAAGUGUACCAGGAAGCCAGCUUCCUGAAGGCCGGUCGCAACACCUGGCUUAGAGCAAUUGGGAAACAGCAGGAGGAAGCAAUGGGCGUCAUAUUUCAGUUUUCAUGGCAGAAGAACUAAAAUAAAGAUUCAGAGCAGUGGUGUUCUGGGUUUAGAGAAAAUAAACACAGAGUAAUUUGGAGAAGGGAAAGAAAUGUUAACUUUCGGACCCAGAAACAAUGAUCUACUUUAGUGUAUCAAUUUACCUGUUUGGUGUUUUCAAUUUAUUUUAAAUUAAUUAAUGGAAGUCAUCGUAAAUCAUCAGACAACUAAUAUACUUUCAUCUUACACUGUGAACCAUUAUAUCCAGCUGCAGAUGGGUGUUGGAGAUUAAGAGACAGGAUAUGUGAUCUGUGCAGGGGGGCUCCACAGCCGCCUCUUGGAUGGCCCAUUAGGUCCAACUAAUUUUUUUUUUUUUUUGGUGAGUUUCUUCAUUCUCUAGUUAUUGGUCCACAUAGAGAAAGUAUUAACCCUAAUGACAUUUUAAUUAAAGAUUUAUUUUCCCUUUAAUCCUGUGGGGCUCCUUUUGGUGCCAAAAUCCUAACUUCUGUCUCCACCACCUUGUGUAUAGUGAGCUGACUGUAAUAUGCAUUAUUUUUGAUACAAGAAUGUUUUGUAACAUGUUUGUUUCUUCUCCAAAUGCUACAAACUAAUUUUAACAUCAUGGAAUAUUGGCUUCUGAAAUAGCAGUUCUCUCUUUGAACUAAUGCUAAUGCAGUUUUUGAAUUUCAUGGUACUACAAUCCUUCACAAGGCUUUUCUUUACUAUAAAUAAAAUAUUCUAAACAAGAGCC